AGGAGGAACAGCCCCAGUGGCGGGGCAGCUCUGGAAACCUGGAUUCAGCCCCCGCAGGAACUCCGUCUGCAGGGCCUGGAGGCUCCGGGGCGGG
rfam:Canis lupus familiaris chromosome 8, whole genome shotgun sequence.